UUAGUAUUUUAGUCGAAUAGUAAUUUUACAAAACAAAGUCGAGCAAUUCGCCUCGCGGAUUUUUAUCUUUUUCUUUUUUUUUCCUUUCGUUGAAAGAUCGACGGACGCUUGUACACGAUUUUUCUCUGAAGAUCGUCGAUCGAUUCGCUCCAAUUUCAACGAACGCGUUCGCGCCCUCUUCGUUUAUCUCGAUAUCUCGAGCUCGAGGAGAAAGAAGAAGCAGAGACCUAGUGACCCGCUUCGAGGGCGACGCUCUGCCGGCCAUCUUAACGACGCAGGGUGAAACGAAGGAGAACGGGAGGAAGGAAAAGAGGAGGAAAAGUAACGGAAGAAGGCAGGAGAAGAGCGGAACGGGAGAAGCAAUUGGAAAAAGAGAGAGAGAGAGAGAGAGAGAAACAGAGAGCAUGGGAGAUCCGAUGCGUUACAUUAAUAGAACGCUUCGCACAUGUCUCGAGGAAUCUUGAGAAUUCGUUUCGUCGUCCAACAAUGCGAUGUCUCGCGAGAAUAUCAUUCCCCGGAAAUUUAUGCGGGCCUCUUCCAUCUCUCGCAGAAUUCAAAAGGAGAAAAACAAAGAGAGAGAAAGAGAGAGAGAGAGAGAGAGAGAGAGAGAGACAACAAUUUUACGAACACAAAUUUACGAAACGUACAUAUACAAGAAACGUAUAGCGAAGGAAAGUCCAAUAUCGAAAUACAAAUAAAUCGAAAAGAUCAAAAGUAAGCCUACGAUAAACAUAGUCCAGACGAAUGAAGUAAGAAAAAUGUAAUUAACGCGUAGACAUUCGUACUGUAAGUAUUUAAAUAGAAGAAGCUGCAAUGUACCGAAAGAAAUCGAUUAGAUACAACGCACGAUAAUACGGAUUUGUAAUUAUAUAAAUGAGAAUAUAAAUAAAAAAGAGAUAAAAA